CUAGUGACAUAAACCAUUACUUUCCUGAACUGAACUUCAAUGCUACCUGGGUCUUCAUUGCCACAUGGAACUGGCUGGAAUAUCAACCAGCAAUGGACAAUGACACCAUGUUCCAGGUUGUUCUGGUCUCAGAUGGGAAUAUGUCAUUUGUCAUGAUGAACUAUGGAAACCUUGCCCCAACUAGUGAAAAUGUCCAGGUUGGAUAUGACUCAUUAAAUUCAUCAAAUUACUUCAGUAUGGCCGAAUCAUUCCAAGGCAACAUCACCGACUUGUC